CCUACGGGUGGCAGCAGUGAGGAAUAUUGGUCAAUGGGCGCUAGCCUGAACCAGCCAAGUAGCGUGAAGGAUGACUGCCCUAUGGGUUGUAAACUUCUUUUAUAUGGGAGUAAAGUGCAGUAUGUAUACUGCUUUGCAUGUAACUUAUGAAUAAGGAUCGGCUAACUCCGUGCCAGCAGCCGCGGUAAUACGGAGGAUCCGAGCGUUAUCCGGAUUUAUUGGGUUUAAAGGGAGCGUAGGCGGGUUGUUAAGUCAGUUGUGAAAGUUUGCGGCUCAACCGUAAAAUUGCAGUUGAUACUGGCAUCCUUGAGUACAGUAGAGGUAGGCGGAAUGCGUGGUGUAGCGGUGAAAUGCUUAGAGAUCACGAAGAACUCCGAUUGCGAAGGCGACUAUCUGGCACAUAACUGACGCUGAGGAGCGAAAGCGUGGGUAGCAAACAGGAUUAGAUACCCCAGUAGUC
rnacentral:rRNA from 1 species